rnacentral:rRNA from 1 species
GUAACAAGGUCUCCGUUGGGGAACCAGCGGAGGGAUCAUU